rnacentral:rRNA from 1 species
AGGACGAACGCUGGCGGCGUGCUUAACACAUGCAAGUCGAACGGUGACGAGGGAGCUUGCUCCUUCUGAUCAGUGGCGAACGGGUGAGUAACACGUGAGUAACCUGCCCCAGACUCUGGGAUAACAUCGGGAAACCGGUGCUAAUACCGGAUAUGAGACGAGACUGCAUGGUCAUCGUCUGGAAAGAUUUAUCGGUCUGGGAUGGACUCGCGGCCUAUCAGCUAGUUGGUGAGGUAACGGCUCACCAAGGCGACGACGGGUAGCCGGCCUGAGAGGGCGAUCGGCCACACUGGAACUGAGACACGGCCCAGACUCCUACGGGAGGCAGCAGUGGGGAAUAUUGCGCAAUGGGCGAAAGCCUGACGCAGCGACGCCGCGUGGGGAUGAAGGCCUUCGGGUUGUAAGCUCUUUGUGCGGGAAGAUAAUGACGGUACCGCAAGAAUAAGCCCGGCUAACUUCGCGCCAGCAGCCGCGGU